UGCCAGCCGCCGCGGUAAUACGGAAGGUCCAAGCGUUAAUCGGAAUUACUGGGCGUAAAGCGCGCGUAGGUGGUUUAUUAAGUUGGAUGUGAAAUCCCCGGGCUCAACCUGGGAACUGCAUCCAAAACUGAUUCACUAGAGUACGAUAGAGGGAGGUAGAAUUCACAGUGUAGCGGUGGAAUGCGUAGAUAUUGUGAAGAAUACCAAUGGCGAAGGCAGUUCACUGGACUGUGAUCGACGCUGAGGAGCGAAAGCUAGGGGAGCAAACAGGAUUAGAUA
rnacentral:rRNA from 1 species